rnacentral:rRNA from 1 species
GCUCCUAGAGGGUGAGAAUCCCGUAUAUGGCACGGACUCCCGGCACUCUGUGAUACACUCUCAACGAGUCGAGUUGUUUGGGAAUGCAGCUCAAAAUGGGUGGUAAAUUCCAUCUAAAGCUAAAUAUAGGCGAGAGACCAAUAGCGAACAAGUACCGUGAGGGAAAGAUGAAAAGCACUUUGGAAAGAGAGUGAAACAGUACGUGAAAUUGUUGAAAGGGAAGCGUUUGAAGUCAGUCGCGUCUGUCGGGAUUCAGCCUGGCUUCUGCCUGGUGUACUUCCCGUCCGACGGGUCAGCAUCAGUUUUGACCGAGAGAAAAAGGCUUGGGGAAUGUGGCUGUCUUCWGGCAGUGUUAUAGCCCCUUGUUGUAUGUCUCGGUUGGGACUGAGGACGGCAGCGCGCCUUACGGCCGGGGUUCGCUCCCUCGGUACGCGCUUAGGAUGCUGGCAUAAUGGCUUUAAGCGACCCGUCUUGAAACACGGACCAAGGAGUCUAACAUGUGCGCGAGUGUUUGGGUGUCAAACCCGAGCGCGUAAUGAAAGUGAAAGGUUGGGAUCACGUACGUGUGCACCAACGCCCGGAGCAGACCUUCUGUGACGCAUCCGCGGCAGAGCGUAUAUGUUGGGACCCGAAAGAUGGUGAACUAUGCCUGAAUAGGGUGAAGCCAGAGGAA